GUCUGACUCCAAUUCUAACCCAAAUUCAGACAGAAAUAUUAAACAGAGAGGGAUUCUCAUUCAUUUUAUUAUCUCCUUCCAAUUCCUUGCUUGCAAAGGUAGUUCUUAGAUUGCACCUUUGAUAAAAAAAUCUUCCACUAUUGCUUUUGUUGGACUGAGUUCCAUCUUCCUGAGAUUAAUUAUUCUUUUUUUUUUGGUGUGUGUGUGUGCGUGUGUGUACAGAAAUUGAAUAUUAAGAUUAAAAGGAGCUCUUGCCUCUUUCUGAUGGAAGAACUGAACACUCCCAGACCUCUCAGUGACCUUUUAGGGGAUGCUUUGGGGACUCUAAAAUCUUAGAAGAAGCAAAGGCUCAAGACCAUGAACAUUAUUAACAUGAGAUGCUGAGAAGGUCUUUGAUCGAGUGGAGUGGAAUUAUUUGAUAACAGCCUUCAUACAAUACUGAAAUGGAAUAACUUUUCAAGAGAGAGACACAUGCACGUCCUUGCACAAGAAAAGAGAUUCUUCACCUUCUGCCAUCGUAUUGUCACAGCAGCUCAUGUUUAUUGUGAAUGACAUCUUCAGCUACAACUCAGCAUGAGCUCCAGCAUGCUGGAGCUGAACAUCCUACCAG
ensembl:lncRNA